UGAGUACGAGCUGCUACGGCAGCGAAGUGGGUGAUGUCAUGCUUCCAAGAAAAGCCCUAUACCCGUUAAGGCAUGAUGGCCUGUACCCGAAACCGACACAGGUGGGGUGGUAGAGAAUACCGAGGGGCGCGAGGUAACUCUCUCUAAGGAACUCGGCAAAAUGGCCCCGUAACUUCGGGAGAAGGGGUGCCACCGCAAGGUGGUCGCAGUGAAGAGGCCCAGGCGACUGUUUACCAAAAACACAGGUCUCCGCUAAGUCGCAAGACGAUGUAUGGGGGCUGACGCCUGCCCAGUGCCGGAAGGUUAAGGAAGCUGGUCAGCGUAAGCGAAGCUAGCGACUGAAGCCCCGGUGAACGGCGGCCGUAACGAUAACGGUCCUAAGGUAGCGAAAUUCCUUGUCGGGUAAGUUCCGACCCGCACGAAAGGCGUAACGAUCUGGGCGCUGUCUCGGAGAGAGGCUCGGCGAAAUAGAAUUGUCUGUGAAGAUGCGGACUACGUGCACCCGGACAGAAAGACCCUAUGAAGCUUUACUGUAGCUUGGUAUUGUGCUCGGGCUCGGAAUGCGCAGGAUAGGUGGGAGGCUAUGAACCAUUGCUUGUGGGUGAUGGUGAGCCACUGGUGAGAUACCACUCUUUCCGAGCUAGAGUUCUAACAGCCACCCGUUAUCCGGGGGCUGGACAGUAUCAGGUGGGCAGUUUGACUGGGGCGGUCGCCUCCUAAAAGGUAACGGAGGCGCGCAAAGGUUUGCUCAGGCUGGUUGGAAAUCAGCCGACGAGUGUAAAAGCAGAAGCAAGCUUGACUGUGAGACCUACAAGUCGAACAGGGAGGAAACUCGGCUUUAGUGAUCCGACGGUUCUGCGUGGAAGGGCCGUCGCUCAACGGAUAAAAGUUUCUCUAGGGAUAACAGGCUGAUCUCCCCCAAGAGUUCACAUCGACGGGGAGGUUUGGCACCUCGAUGUCGGCACAUCGCAACCUGGGGCUGAAGUCGGUCCCAAGGGUUGGGCUGUUCGCCCAUUAAAGCGGUACGCGAGCUGGGUUCAGAACGUCGUGAGACAGUUCGGUCCAUAUCCGGUGCAUGCGCAGGAAUAUUGAGAGGAUUUCUCCCUAGUACGAGAGGACCGGGAGGAACGCACCUCUGGUGUACCAGUUAUCGUGCCAACGGUAAACGCUGGGUAGCCAUGUGCGGAGAGGAUAACCGCUGAAAGCAUCUAAGUGGGAAGCCCACCUCAAGAUGAGUAUUCCCAUGGGGUAACCCAGUAAGGUCACGGGAAGAACACCCGUUGAUAGGCUCUACGUGGAAGCGCAGUAAUGUGUGAAGCGGAGGAGUACUAAUAGACCGAGGGCUUGA
rnacentral:rRNA from 1 species